UAGCAAGGUUAACCGUAUAGGGGAGCCGGAGGGAAACCGAGUCUUAAUUGGGCGUUAAGUUGCAGGGUAUAGACCCGAAACCCGGUGAUCUAGCCAUGGGCAGGUUGAAGGUUGGGUAACACUAACUGGAGGACCGAACCGACUAAUGUUGAAAAAUUAGCGGAUGACCUGUGGCUGGGGGUGAAAGGCCAAUCAAACCGGGAGAUAGCUGGUUCUCCCCGAAAGCUAUUUAGGUAGCGCCUCGUGAAUUCAUCUCCGGGGGUAGAGCACUGUUUCGGCUAGGGGGCCAUCCCGGCUUACCAACCCGAUGCAAACUGCGAAUACCGGAGAAUGUUAUCACGGGAGACACACGGCGGGUGCUAACGUCCGUCGUGAAGAGGGAAACAACCCAGACCGCCAGCUAAGGUCCCAAAGUCAUGGUUAAGUGGGAAACGAUGUGGGAAGGCCCAGACAGCCAGGAUGUUGGCUUAGAAGCAGCCAUCAUUUAAAGAAAGCGUAAUAGCUCACUGGUCGAGUCGGCCUGCGCGGAAGAUGUAACGGGGCUAAACCAUGCACCGAAGCUGCGGCAGCGAACGUAUCACCCAAGACAACUUUACGGAGUUGACGAUUGACGGAGCGAAGCGACGUCAAAGCGUUCAUUAAAGUCGAGUUGGCUUAGGGAUACGUUCGUUGGGUAGGGGAGCGUUCUGUAAGCCUGUGAAGGUGUGUCGUGAGGCAUGCUGGAGGUAUCAGAAGUGCGAAUGCUGACAUAAGUAACGAUAAAGCGGGUGAAAAGCCCGCUCGCCGGAAGACCAAGGGUUCCUGUCCAACGUUAAUCGGGGCAGGGUGAGUCGACCCCUAAGGCGAGGCCGAAAGGCGUAGUCGAUGGGAAACGGGUUAAUAUUCCCGUACUUGGUGUUACUGCGAAGGGGGGACGGAGAAGGCUAUGUUGGCCGGGCGACGGUUGUCCCGGUUUAAGCGUGUAGGUGUGUGUUCCAGGUAAAUCCGGUUCACUUUAACACUGAGGCGUGACGACGAGGCACUACGGUGCUGAAGCAACAAAUGCCCUGCUUCCAGGAAAA
rnacentral:rRNA from 1 species